GACCCUUUAGUUAAAGUCAAGGUCAUCAUUAAGUGUCUUAUUUUGAGCUUUAUACCUUUUGUAUUUAACAUUUUUUCAAGACCACUAUUCUUGGAGAUAAUUGACCGGAUUUUUUAAUCACCCUGUAUAUUUAUUCGCAGCAAAUAAAUGUCUUUCUUUCAGUUCAAAAGUUCAAUAUUUUAUUCUAGGUAAUUGGGGAAGGGAAGGAGGCGCAAAAUGUUGAGUAAUUGCCCAUUUCAGAAGAUGUUCUAGAAACACUUAAGAAUAUCUAUUAAGAUAGAGUUUGUGAUCAAAUAAAAUAGUAAAUGUUUUUAUGGAUGAAAUGAGUGGAAAUGAAACAGAAACUAUUAUGAGUAAUGAGAUAAAUCCAUAGAUUGAAAUAGAUGAAUUAAGAGAUAUUGAAAAUUUAGCUAACGAAAUGAAUGAAAAUGAAACAGAAGCUCUUAUGAUUAAUGAGAUAAAUCCACAGAUUGAAAUAGAUCAAUUAAGAGAUAUUAAAAAUUUGAUAACGAAUUUGAGGAACAAGAAGAAAAAAAGAAGGAAAAUGUUUUUAGCAAACAGGACUUUAAGAAUAACAACAAAAAGGAAAAUAAGAAGCGAAAACAAGAAGAUGACAAAAUAAGCAAACAGAAAUUUAAGAAUGAGAACAAAAAGGAAAAUAAGAAGCGAAAACGAGAAGAUGACAA